CGUAGGGGGCGAGCGUUAUCCGGAUUCAUUGGGCGUAAAGCGCUCGUAGGCGGCCUGCUAGGUCGGGAGUCAAAUGCGGGGGCCCAACCCCCGGCCGCUCCCGAUACCGGCGGGCUUGAGUUUGGUAGGGGAAGGCGGAAUUCCCGGUGUAGCGGUGGAAUGCGCAGAUAUCGGGAAGAACACCGGUGGCGAAGGCGGCCUUCUGGGCCACAACUGACGCUGAGGAGCGAAAGCUGGGGGAGCGAACAGGAUUAAUACCC
rnacentral:rRNA from 1 species